AUUGAACGCUGGCGGCAUGCCUUACACAUGCAAGUCGAACGGCAGCACGGGAGCAAUCCUGGUGGCGAGUGGCGAACGGGUGAGUAAUAUAUCGGAACGUGCCCGGUCGUGGGGGAUAACGUAGCGAAAGCUACGCUAAUACCGCAUACGAUCUACGGAUGAAAGCGGGGGAUCGCAAGACCUCGCGCGAUUGGAGCGGCCGAUAUCAGAUUAGGUAGUUGGUGAGGUAAAGGCUCACCAAGCCGACGAUCUGUAGCUGGUUUGAGAGAACGACCAGCCACACUGGGACUGAGACACGGCCCAGACUCCUACGGGAGGCAGCAGUGGGGAAUUUUGGACAAUGGGCGCAAGCCUGAUCCAGCAAUGCCGCGUGCAGGAUGAA
rnacentral:rRNA from 1 species